UACGUUAAUAGCGUAUUCGUUUGACGUUAGCGACAGAAGAAGCACCGGCUAACUCCGUGCCAGCAGCCGCGGUAAUACGGAGGGUGCGAGCGUUAAUCGGAAUUACUGGGCGUAAAGCGCAUGCAGGUGGUUUGUUAAGUCAGAUGUGAAAGCCCCGGGGCUCAACCUCGGAAUAGCAUUUGAAACUGGCAGACUAGAGUACUGUAGAGGGGGUAGAAUUUCAGGUGUAGCGGUGAAAUGCGUAGAGAUCUGAAGGAAUACCGGUGGCGAAGGCGGCCCCCCUGGACAGAUACUGACACUCAGAUGCGAAAGCGUGGGGAGCAAACAGGAUUAGAUACCCUGGUAG
rnacentral:rRNA from 1 species